UACGGGGGGGGCAAGCGUUGUUCGGAAUUACUGGGCGUAAAGGGCGCGUAGGCGGCCUACUAAGUCGGACGUGAAAUCCCUCGGCUCAACCGGGGAACUGCGUCCGAUACUGGUGGGCUCGAAUCCGGGAGAGGGAUGUGGAAUUCCAGGUGUAGCGGUGAAAUGCGUAGAUAUCUGGAGGAACACCGGUGGCGAAGGCGGCAUCCUGGACCGGUAUUGACGCUGAGACGCGAAAAGCGUGGGGAGCAAACAGG
rnacentral:rRNA from 1 species